AGUGACAAGGAAGACAAAGAAUCAACUAAAUCACAAAAAAAAAAGAAAAAUAGCACAGAGAUUUAGUUUGAUGCCGGCAACAAUGUGUUGUCAUGAUUUGUUGAUGAGGAAUGCCAUGCUUUCUGCCUACACCCCAAUGUGCGACUACCUGCGGCUCGGCUGUUGAUGCGGGAGGUGCUGUAGGGCCCUACUGCCUAACACUUGCUGACGAGGACAUCCCUGCAAAGAAUGAGAUCGUGGAUCCUAGCAUCGGCCUCCAGAAAAGGAAGGAAUGAUCCAUGUCGGGCAAGGUGUGCACGUCAACCAGGAAUGCGGGCAACAUGCGGAAAGCAGAGUGCGACUCCAUGUUUUGCAAGAUCACUGCUGCUUCCAUAGGGCUGCUUUUGACUACGCCUGAGGGAGAAAGGUACCGCCAGGCUGAAAGGGCAGCCCGGCACCAGAAGAUACGGCGGUACCUGUCAGAAAACCUGUCCA